GGUAUCACAGCCUUACAUCGACCACAUGUUUGGCCUAGAAACAUGAUCCAGACAUGAUUCCCCUAACCCGGCCCUUUGGGUGAAAUGGCCAUAUCCCCGUGGAGCUGCCUUGAAGAAGGAUCCUAAUAUCACAUAUCAGUUAGAUGACCAAGUUCAGGCCCUGCACGACUGCUGCAGCUCAGCGCUGGAGCUCCGAUCAAUGGAAUACUGUUGGGGAUACAAUGGACCACACCCACAUACUGAUUAGACCCUCUGAUUGGAUAUCACAUGGAUGUCUUGACCACUACCAUGGCUUUCAUGCAAAUUGAUGAAGCGAGUUUGAGCCGAGAAAGACACAGCAAAAGAAAAACGGUCAGACAUUUCACUCAGUAUGAGAGAGUAACUGCAUGUUUUCCAGUGGCUGUUUUUCAAACAGCAAAAGAAGGGGCCAUAUUGAGCUGACAUAAGAAGAAAAGAAGGGAGCAAAGAGACUACUUGGGGUUCUGGAGAGUGUGGGAGCAUGUGGGGACUUUCCAGUGGAUGAAGACUGCCUCACUAGAGGAAAGUAUUUAUUCAGGAGUAAUUGAAAUAAUACAGCAGCCAAAAGCUCAGCCUGAGCGGAUGAGCAAGAAGAGGAUGUGGGUGAUUGAAACAUGGCUGCAAUUUGUUUUAACUGGCUGUAGAAAUAAGCAUGGCAGAGCUCUUAGGACUUGGUAGUUGUAAAUCUGGAGCCUUGCAGGAGUAUUGUCGGUUCAUAACCUUUCUCUCUCUCUUGUGCUCUCUCCCUCCCUUACGCCUCCCAGGGGUACAUUUAGCUGGGGAAAUGGAGCUUUUCUUCCCUUUAUUUGACUUCCUUGUCACUGGCAAACUCUCUGUUCCCCCCUCUCGCUCUCUCUUUCUCUUGUUGUCUGGCACACACACACACACACACGCACACACUCGCCUUGACCCACGUUUGCAGGACCCCUAACUGUUGGUGUGCAGACCAGUCGUGGGAGGACAAGGACACAACACAGAGAUACAUUAGAGAAAAUCACUUCCCCCUUUCAGCCAAGAAUGGUUCUGGGAAGUCAUGUAAUUCUUCCGUGAUCUGUGUUCUCUCUGUCUUCCUAUAAAUGCAUAUUUAAAUGCAUUAUGCUAUGGUCAGCUUACAUAUACAUGCAUGUCCAAUUCUGCGUUAAUAUUUGUCAGAAGACACAAUCUUUGUUUGGAAACAGUUUGAUGUAUUUUUAAUGUAAGAUAGGAAUUGAAAUGUAUCACAUAUUAAAGGGGUAUUUCACCCAAUUACAAAAUAGAUUUUAGAUGUAUUAUUACUUUUAUUGUUUUUAUUUUUACUGGUUAAAACUCUUUUCUACUUCCUUAAUAACAAAGUCACAAAGCUGGAAACAGGGUUGACUUUUUUUGGUGAGCUGACCCUUUAAUUACCUGCCUGCAUGUGAAGAAAACAGAGAUGGAGAGAGGCUAUGUUAAAACUGUAAAAGAAAAAUUAGUAGUUAUGUGCCAAAUGUGUGAGCGGAUCUCUCUGUUCACACCUCUGGUUCAAGGCCUCUGGCUCACCAGCCCCCUGGUCUGUUUAGUCAGCCCGUCUCCCAAAGAACACACACACAUGCAUGCACACAUCCACAUACUUUCAUUUUCUACAUCACCUCCAAUAUUCCCUUUCCUGAUUCCUUCCUUCCUACGGAGCUUUGACUGAAAAGUGCUGCUUUGUAACAAUUCAACACAGGUCUACGGGUUACACACUGCUGCAUCUCAAAGCUGUGUACUUCUCACUCUUCGCUGUGGGUCAGUACUCAGGGUUUACACAGGGGGCAAAGGUGUUAAUGCUACAUGCUUUAAAGAAGCACAAGAUGUCUUCACUUCAGCUCUAACAGGCACCUUGGGUAAAAGCUGGAACUAAUCUGAGAGGUGUGUGUGUGUGUGUGUGUGUGUGUGUGUGUGCGUGUGUGCGUGCGUGCGUGCGUGCGUGCGUGCAUGUGUGUGUGUAAAACAGAGAGGGUAACAAGACGUAGAGUAUUCAAAGAAUAGAAAUGCAUUUGUAAGUAGGUGAAGUUCAGAGGUUCUUUCAAAGCUUGACAAUAGCAAAUAUGGCUAACAUUAUUUCUGUAGUGUUGAGGUUUCUCUCUCUGUUUACAAAAGAAAGGGGCUUCCACUUCCGUGCUUUCUCUGCGAUUCUAUUUUAUGCUGCUUUAGUACAAACAAGGCCAAUUAUUCUGCACUGAGAGCAUGUAGGGGCACUAAAAUAGCACAAUAAAUAUUGCUUCAGUCUCAAAUGUAAAUGCAUACUUUAUGCAUGAUCAGCCCUAUAUGUUUAAAAUUACGUGUUUACUUGGCAUUUAUCUGCUUUAUUAUAAUUUACUGUGUCAACAUACUGGGUCUGUAUGCUAUGCUAUUUUCUUUACAUUACUUUUCUUUGCUCUUUACUCUGCUUCCCUUAUAUUUAUUCCUUUCAUGAGUGUCUCAUUAUUUGUUUUUAUGCAUGCGGAGUAAAAUCUUUUAAAACCUCAUUGAUUAUGUGCAUAUGAUCAGGAAUGUAAUGGUGUGUAUAGAGAUGUAUAUCAAAUUCACAAUUUCUUGUUUGGCCAGAAGUGACAAAGCAAAUAAUAUCAACCACCAAAAAUAAGCUGGUUACACAUUUAGUUCGGCAAAAGUUGGCUUAGGUCAUAGCACUGGGAAUGAAUGAAAACACAUUUGCGAGCGAAUCAAUUUUUAUAACCUUUGCGUGUUUAUUAGAUAUUCUGAGGCUAAUGCAAUAAAGUGGCCAAAGCCAAUAUUGUAUGCCAUGAAGGGUGGUGGAACAAUUCCAAAUAGUAAUGUCACCUCUACAGACCAAGCACAAAUAAUAUACAUAGAAGGAGCUUUGGAAUCGAAGUGGUGUGUUUACGAGUGAAUAUGUUUGAUUAAACCCAUACAGUACUGGAAAUGACAAAAUGCCUGUUUUUGUGCAUAGUUUUUUUCUCAGGGAUAGAAGCAGACACAGACAUACACAUGCACCCUCUCUAAACAUACAUGCACACAAACACAGUCACACAGACGUCGUCCUCCCAUCUACAGCCAAGGGAAGUAAUGAAAACAAAUGGCAGAGUUCUA